rnacentral:rRNA from 1 species
UACGUAGGGGGCAAGCGUUGUCCGGAUUUAUUGGGCGUAAAGAGCGUGUAGGCGGUCAGGUAGGUCCGUUGUGAAAACUCGAGGCUCAACCUCGAGACGCCGAUGGAAACCAUCUGACUAGAGUCCGGAAGAGGAGAGUGGAAUUCCUGGUGUAGCGGUGAAAUGCGCAGAUAUCAGGAGGAACACCGGUGGCGAAGGCGGUUCUCUGGGCCGUAACUGACGCUGAGGAGCGAAAGCGUGGGGAGCGAACAGG